UACGUAGGGACCAAGCGUUGUUCGGAUUUACUGGGCGUAAAGCGUGCGCAGGCGGUUUUGUAAGUCUGACGUGAAAUCCCCGGGCUUAACCUGGGAAUUGCGUUGGAGACUGCAAGGCUAGAAUCUGGCAGAGGGGGGUAGAAUUCCACGUGUAGCAGUGAAAUGCGUAGAGAUGUGGAGGAACACCGAUGGCGAAGGCAGCCCCCUGGGUCAAGAUUGACGCUCAUGCACGAAAGCGUGGGGAGCAAACAGG
rnacentral:rRNA from 1 species